UUCUUGUCCAUCCGUCCAAAGCUAACAAGGAAUCCGUCAGGUCCGAGUGCUUGGUCUUCCUGCUUGUUCCAUCCGUCGCCGUAACUUACUACGGGGUAGGCCGGCUCACCGUGCUUAGGGACAUCAAGGCCUACACAAGAGACUCGCAGUUGCCCAAUCAAAUGGCAGAACCCAAACAUGAUGCCAGCGCAGGUGGCAGACCAGGCCAUGAUUGACACCAGACCAAGAAUGUUCCAGCCCCAAAGACGGAACGAGAGUGUGCUCCAGCGGUAGAGAACUCCAGUUUUAUGAUUGAAGAGUGGAGCGGCCAGCAGCCCCCAUGUACCGCCUCCCAUGUGCACUACAAGGAAAGCCAUACCAUGCUUCUUUAUUAUGUUGACACCACAUACUACUGAUGAUAUUGACACCAGAUACUACUGAUGAUGUUGA